rnacentral:rRNA from 1 species
UACAGGGGGUGCAAACGUUGUCCGGAAUUAUUGGGCGUAAAGAGCUCGUAGGCGGUUUGUCGCGUCUGCUGUGAAAACCUAAGGCUCAACCUUGGGCUUGCAGUGGGUACGGGCAGACUAGAGUGCGGUAGGGGUGACUGGAAUUCCUGGUGUAGCGGUGGAAUGCGCAGAUAUCAGGAGGAACACCGAUGGCGAAGGCAGGUCACUGGGCCGCAACUGACGCUGAGGAGCGAAAGCAUGGGGAGCGAACAGG